rnacentral:rRNA from 1 species
AUUGAACGCUGGCGGCAGGCCUAACACAUGCAAGUCGAGCGAGCGGCGGACGGGUGAGUAAUGUCUGGGAAACUGCCUGAUGGAGGGGGAUAACUACUGGAAACGGUAGCUAAUACCGCAUACCAUCAGAUGUUCCCACAUGGGAGUAGCUAGUAGGUGGGGUAAAGGCUCACCUAGGCGACGAUCCCUAGCUGGUGUGAGAGGAUGACCAGCCACACUGGAACUGAGACACGGGCCAGCCUCCUACGGGAGGCAGCAGUGGGGAAUAUUGCACAAUGGGGGCAAGCCUGAUGCAGCCAUGCGGCGGGUGUGAAGAAGGCCUUCGGGUUGUAAAGCACUUUCAGCGGGGAGGCGUUACCCGCAGAAGAAGCACCGGCUAACUCCGUGCCAGCAGCCGCGGUAAUUC